UUCCGGUUGAUCCCGGCAGAGGCUACUGCUAUUGGGAUUCGAUUAAGCCAUGCAAGUUGAAUGAAUUUAGAUUCAUGGCGUACGGCUCAGUAACACGUGGAUAACUUACCCUUAGGACUGGGAUAACUCUGGGAAACUGGGGAUAAUACCGGAUAUUAGGCUAUGUCUGCAAUGGUUUGCCUUUGAAAUGUUUUUUUUCGCCUAAGGAUAGAUCUGCGGCUGAUUAGGUCGUUGGUGGGGUAAUGGCCCACCAAGCCGAUGAUCGGUACGGGUUGUGAGAGCAAGGGCCCGGAGAUGGAACCUGAGACAAGGUUCCAGACCCUACGGGGUGCAGCAGGCGCGAAACCUCCGCAAUGUACGAAAGUGCGACGGGGGGAUCCCAAGUGUUAUGCUUAAAGGUAUGACUUUUCAUUAGUGUAAAAAGCUUUUAGAAUAAGAGCUGGGCAAGACCGGUGCCAGCCGCCGCGGUAACACCGGCAGCUCGAGUGGUAGCUGUUUUUAUUGGGCCUAAAGCGUUCGUAGCCGGUUUAAUAAGUCUUUGGUGAAAGCUUGUAGCUUAACUAUAAGAAUUGCUGGAGAUACUAUUGGACUUGAAGUCGGGAGAGGUUAGAGGUACUACCGGGGUAGGGGUGAAAUCCUAUAAUCCUGGGAGGACACCUGGUGCGGAGGCGUCUAACUGGAACGAUCUUGACGGUGAGUUACGAAAGCCAGGGGCGCGUACCGGAUUAUAUACCCGGGUAGUCCUGGCCCGUAACGAUGUGAACUGGGGGUUGGAAUGGCUUUGANUUGUUCCGGGGCCAAAAGGAAACUGUUAUAUCCACCGCCGGGAA
rnacentral:rRNA from 1 species